rnacentral:rRNA from 1 species
UACGAAGGGUGCAAACGUUGCUCGGAAUUAUUGGGCGUAAAGCGCACGUAGGCGGCUUUGCAAGUCGGGUGUGAAAAUCCCCUGGCUUAACCUGGGAACUGCAUUCGAGACUGCAUUGCUAGAGUAUGGGAGAGGGAAGUGGAAUUUCCGGUGUAGCGGUGAAAUGCGUAGAUAUCGGAAGGAACAUCAGUGGCGAAAGCGACUUCCUGGACCAAUACUGACGCUCAUGUGCGAAAGCGUGGGGAGCAAACAGG